CGGCCCUCCCGGCUGGGCGGUUCCCGGACCAGGCUCAGGGCUGUAAGGAAGGACGCCUGGGACUGCCCACCCGCGCGGCUCUGGGCCCAGGGCCCUCCCGCCGCCCCGCGGGGACCCCUUGGAGGGGCCGGGCCUGAGAAAGGCGGGAAGGAGCCCGGAGGUUUCCGGGACGGAUCUGCGCCACCGCCCACACUCGGCGGUUCAGGGAAAUUCAAAUAUAAACGUCCCUAAAAGCCACACGCGAAACUCAGAGUGUCCCCGGCCACCGCGGGCGUGGUAACCUUAUCCCCCGCUCCGCUGGAGGGCUCGGGAAACGGCCUGGAGGCCGGGACGCUGUGGAAUUACGUAAUAGGCACUUGAGUCCGAGGUUCCAAAUGCACGGCUUGCAGGUUCCAAGUACCAGCCUUUAUUUUUCUCUCCGGUGGAAAACUGUAUCAGGCAACUUCUUUCCAUGAAAGUGAGAUCUGUGCGUCUUGAAGCCGAUAGAUUAUCACAGAAAAACCAGCAACCCUGAUUUUAAAUCAUUUGCCAACAGUGUUAAUGGGCGGUUCCUAAUCCGUUUCUUAAUUUAAGGGUUUGUAAAAUCAAAAAACAGCUCAGAAAUGAUACGAUUAACAUAUGACGAUUUAAGUUGGGUUGAUCUCAAAGUGAAGGAUGGAGAAAUGAAUUCUCUAUUGUCAUAAGGAAAAGGGAAGUCAUGAAGUUAGAAGGAAUUCCAUCAUCACUUGGGAGAUUUCUGCGAAUCAUCACUAAAGCCAUUCACUUUCUCAUAACUAAACAAGAAUCUUCUUCUGGAGUUAAGUAUCAGAUAUGAAUGUUCUCACUGACCUCAGGAAGCAAAAGUCCUAAAUCAUUAUAUGGCAGUGAAGGUACAAAAAAAAAAAAAAAUCAGCAGGAAAUAAAGCGGAACUGCUGCCAACACAUACAAGCUGCAGUAGCACCCACAAAAUGUGUAGUAUCUAUUCUAACACAUUCAUUGGACUGAUUACAUUGGCUCAUAGACUUGGUUAACUCUGGAAGAACAUAAUAGGUGUUUAUUGUUUACUAUGGGGAUGGGAAACAUAAUUAAGUCUAUAGUCUCCAAUUCUUCUCAAGUUCAAAUGAAACCAACACUUUUGGUUUUGUCUUAACAUUCAGGAUGUGUUUCUAAUUAAACUGAA
rnacentral:lncRNA from 1 species